rnacentral:lncRNA from 1 species
GCGUGAGCUAUGGGUUCUAGGGUUUCAUCUCUAGGAUUUGUGAGAAGAAAAAUAUAAGAGCGAGUCUUGUCCAAUCUUUCACACCACCACAUCCUUGUAAAACUUCAUCUUCUUAUCUGGAAGAGUUCGGGAGAUCCAAAGAAAAAAGCUUGGAUCAGCCAUUCAGAGCCUUCGAUGCAAGCUAGCACUCCCAUAAAGAAAAAUCCGAUCAGAGCUUCGAGUGGACGAUCUGUAGAGGUCGGAUGAUCUGUGC